AUUAGCUUGUUGGUAGGGUAACGGCCUACCAAGGCGACGAUGCGUAGCCGACCUGAGAGGGUGACCGGCCACACUGGACUGAGACACGGCCCAGACUCCUACGGGAGGCAGCAGUAGGGAAUUUUCGGCAAUGGGGGAAACCCUGACCGAGCAACGCCGCGUGAAGGAAGAAGUAAUUCGUUAUGUAAACUUCUGUCAUAGAGGAAGAACGGUGGAUAUAGGGAAUGAUAUCCAAGUGACGGUACUCUAUAAGAAAGCCACGGCUAACUACGUGCCAGCAGCCGCGGUAAUACGUAGGUGGCGAGCGUUAUCCGGAAUUAUUGGGCGUAAAGAGGGAGCAGGCGGCACUAAGGGUCUGUGGUGAAAGAUCGAAGCUUAACUUCGGUAAGCCAUGGAAACCGUAGAGCUAGAGUGUGUGAGAGGAUCGUGGAAUUCCAUGUGUAGCGGUGAAAUGCGUAGAUAUAUGGAGGAACACCAGUGGCGAAGGCGACGAUCUGGCGCAUAACUGACGCUCAGUCCCGAAAGCGUGGGGAGCAAAUAGGAUUAGAUACCCUAGUAGUCCACGCCGUAAACGAUGAGUACUAAGUGUUGGGGGUCAAACCUCAGUGCUGCAGUUAACGCAAUAAGUACUCCGCCUGAGUAGUACGUUCGCAAGAAUGAAACUCAAAGGAAUUGACGGGGGCCCGCACAAGCGGUGGAGCAUGUGGUUUAAUUCGAAGCAACGCGAAGAACCUUACCAGGUCUUGACAUCGAUCUAAAGGCUCCAGAGAUGGAGAGAUAGCUAUAGAGAAGACAGGUGGUGCAUGGUUGUCGUCAGCUCGUGUCGUGAGAUGUUGGGUUAAGUCCCGCAACGAGCGCAACCCCUGUUGCCAGUUGCCAGCAUUAAGUUGGGGACUCUGGCGAGACUGCCGGUGACAAGCCGGAGGAAGGCGGGGAUGACGUCAAAUCAUCAUGCCCCUUAUGACCUGGGCUACACACGUGCUACAAUGGACAGAGCAGAGGGAAGCGAAGCCGCGAGGUGGAGCGAAACCCAUAAAACUGUUCUCAGUUCGGACUGCAGUCUGCAACUCGACUGCACGAAGAUGGAAUCGCUAGUAAUCGCGAAUCAGCAUGUCGCGGUGAAUACGUUCUCGGGCCUUGUACACACCGCCCGUCACACCAUGAGAGUCGGUAACACCCGAAGCCGGUGGCCUAACCGCAAGGAAGGAGCUGUCUAAGGUGGGACUGAUUAUUGGGGUGAAGUCGAACAAGGUA
rnacentral:rRNA from 1 species